UCCUAAUGAUAAUUAAUUUUGAGUGGAAGCUGCAAGUUUUUACUUAUAACAAUUUGCCAAUGAGAAAAACUAUGUCUACAUGCAGUUAAUAGUCAAUGAAGGAACUUUUGUGUAAUUUUAAGUUAAAAUAGGCCACACGAAACUAUAGUGCGUAUCAUAACUAUGCGACUCCUACAUAUUUAUUUAAUUUUAAUUAUUUUAUUUUAAAUGUAGCUCGUUCUAUAACAAAAACUAUAUCCAUACCUACAUAAAUCCAAGUUUCAACACAUACUAGUAUAAUAAAGUACAAGCUUAAAGAGUCACGCAUUUACUAUACGAACUAUCUAUGUUCCAACAAUUUUUGUAUAUGGAGGAGUAAAAAAAAUAUAAAAUAUAAAUAUAAUAACAUAAAUAGUCAAAACUCGUAAAUAUGUCGGUGUGGUAUAGUUCUGAUAGGCACUAUAUGCAUGUAUUUGAAUAAGAUUUCUUAAAACAACUUGCAACAUCAUGGAAGUAUUGUGUUUUCGUACUUUUUUGCAGAGCGAAAGUGGUAAAAUUUCCAGAAACUUAGUUUUUGGAUAAUAUUUACUGGAAAAGUACAUUUGCAGGGUUUGUUGGAUUUUCAAAACUUAUUUAAAAAUCUUCGCCCCUGACUAAAUAAAAUUCGUAAAUAUUAAAAUGAAUUUCAAGCUUCUAAAAAGGGGGUUUUUUAAGUUAUUUUAGUUUUUUAAAAAAUGCAUUACAAAAAAUUCAUUUCACUAUCACUUGUUUGGGUAAUGGGCGGAUAUAAAUUCGUUAAGCACAAGANUCUAUCAUUACUUCAGAAUAUGUUUUACAAAUGAUUAUAAUUUUUCUUUUAUAACUAUACAACAAUUAAUAAUUUUGUUCAUUAAUUGGAAUGCAAUGCUUUUAAUAUUUUGAUUCAUCUGUUAGCUUACGUACAUUUAUGUAGUAGUUAGGUACAUAAAAUUUAACACAUUAAGAUUUACUUUUUGUAAAAAAAGUAUUCGAGGUAGUUACACCAAUUUUUUUUAUAUUAAGUCGCGGAUUGGAAAUUCAUAACAGAUUUUUCCCCCAAUUGAGUCAGAUUCUACACCCAUAUUUGCUGCUAUUAUGUAUACGCGAAAUUCGCUGCGCUACUUAAAAGGUUAGUAGUCAUAAAAAGAAUGUCUGCGUAAGCUGAAAAUACAACGAAGGAAUAUAGCGGUAAAAUUACAAAGAAAUAAAAUUUAGAAAAUUCUUUA